GCGGAUUCUCUCUCUCAAGACGCUCUCUCGCUCCCGCUCUCUCUCUCUCUCUCUAAAAAACGGUUCUCGCGGAUGCUCUCUGACGUAUUCUCUUGCUGAGGGGAUUAUCGCUCUCUCCGAAUCUCUCUGCAUCUCGGAGAGCGAUCUAGGGUUUGACGGCCGAAUCGAUUCAAGGUGGAAAUCGGUCUCUCUCUUUAGCUUGAGGAUCUCGACUUCCUCAUCUGCUCUUUCUCGAGCUCUGAAGCUGAUUGGCAAUGGUGGUAACGACGGCAGCGGCGGCAACAGCUUCCAAUCGUUUUCUUGUUCUGCUUUGCCGGUAGUCUCGCGCGCAAGAGAGAUUCCGACGAUUCCUCUCUGGCUGGAUCUCGCGCUCAGGAUCUGUCUCUCGCUCUCUGGAUUUGUCUCUCGGUCGGUCUCUCUCUUGAUUGAAGAUGGAACAGAUGAAGAUCGAAGGAGUUCUUCGUUGUUACUUGAUCAUCAAAAUCUCUGAAGAUGCUUCGGAGUAGUUGAUGUGCUGAUUUCCAGAAAAUCGCAGAAUGAAGAUUGAAAGAAGCUGAGAAAAACAUGUCUAGAUUGCAACUCGAAAGAAGCAUACACCAUCUUCAAAUCAGCAGCCGAGGCGUUCAUUCGAUGAGUUCGAGGAUCACAGAAUCAAAGGCCAGCGUUCUUCAUUUUCCAGGAGUUCCAAUAACAAAAUCGAAGCUAAGUGUUUGGUUUCCUCUUUUCUAUUUCGGUAAGGAGUGUUAUUAGAUUCAGAUCCUCCACUGAUUUCAGUACAUGUUUUUUUGUUAAAUAGCAACUUUAUUGUCACUGAAUGGUGAACAUCUCCGAAGGUCAGUUCUUGGCUGAUUCCUUAAGGACCAAGGUGGGUGCCUUGAAACUCCAUUUAAUAUCAUCCGAUGAGGCGAGAGCUUCUCGUGUCGUGAUUCAUGAUCGACAAUGAAGGUUCGGGGCCAGGAUGCAUUGCAAAUCUAAUUAAAAUCGAUGUUUGUAUGAUCUGGAAUUGAUUGCAGUUGGAUGCUGAGAUUCUGUGAUUUUCGAUUUCGGAUGAGUGACUCACUGUUUCGGCUGAAAGGAGGUGCUAGAUGAGGUUUUUUGAUCUCGAGUCCUUCUAGACAUAUAAUAUAUACUUCUAGAGCUUCGAUUUGAUAUGUUGCACGCCCUGAACGGACGUCGUUCAGUCAUCAAAAAACACCUACAAAGUCUGUCAAUUCUGCAGUAGUUUUAAGGUUGAUUUGCUGUUCUGAUUGAUUCUCUGUUUCAGAUGACCUUUUGUGAAAAUGACCUGAUAUGAGCUGGUUUCUGUGGUUUUCUGUGUUUGAUGUCUUCACGAGAGUUGAAGAAGACUCAAAGAACUUUCCAACGACCCAUAGAACGUUCCGAUCCGAUGUCGUUUACUACCUGAAAGUAGCUCGGCAUUUAGCACCAGUUUUCUGGAAAAUUUUGGUGUUCUGACUUGCUCUCUGUUCUGAAUGACCUUCUGUGUAAACCGCUUGAUAUGAACUGGUAGGUGAUGUUAUUAGGAUUUAAUGUCUUCUAGAUAAUUGUAAUAGACAUCUCAAGCUUUAAAAUGAUAUAUUGCAUGCUUGAAUCGACCAUCAUUUGCUAUGUUUAACAUUUUUUUUUCUAAACAAUUAUGAAAUCUGGAAUUUGCCUUGGUCAGAAAUGCAUAUACUGUUAUUGUUGGCCUGAUUGUCUGUCACUUUCUUAUGAUGCUGAUUUUGCAUUAUUUGCACAUCAAUUGGACUCAACUUCUCUUGUGAUGCGCAUGAUAGAAAUCUGUCAUAAAAUGAAAUUCAGAACCCCUGUUGUUCCCUUGUCGAAGCUGACAUCUUGUCAUUCUUCUAUGAUUUUCUUGUUAAGGAUUCUAAGAUUGGGUCUUUAACAAAAGUUGUUCGCCUUUCUUUUGUUCGCGCUGUGGUAAAAUUUCAUAUUCUUCAGAUUUUCUUUUUUAGAUCAAAUCACUAUUCAUGUGUUAUGACAUCCUGAUAUUUUGCUGCAUUUUUGACGAAGUUGUAUGCAUGAAACUUGUGCCUCAUUGUCUUCUUGACAUUUGAAACACGUGUUACAAGUUUCGCAUUAAUGCAUGGCAUAUCAUAUUUGAAUCUCGUUUGAUAUGAAUAUCAUGCACCCAUUUGGCUAAUUGCAAUUGAAAUUUGUCAAGCAUGACAUUCUUAGUUCCAAGUCACUUUGUAAUGUUAAUGACUUGUGUGACUUCUUAGCAUUCUGAUUUAGGGUUAAAUGUUUACUCAAACCUUUUUCGCAUUCAACCUUAUGUCAUGUGCAAGUUUCACAUUUUUGUACAUUGUCUAGGUGGUCUUAUGAACCUUUAAACAUGCAUUGUAUUUUGUCAUGUUUGUGACUUGAAUUUGCUAGAUUCAUGUUCAUGUCUGAUGCCUAUGUCUGUUCGUUGUAAUAAUGAUUUCUAUGCAUUGUCUUAGUCAUAUAAGAUGAGGCAACGGAUUCUUAUUUCUUAGACUAGGUUUAGAAUAGGAUCUCGAAGAUGGAGAAGGCGUGAAGAUGGUGAAGGUCGAUGUCCACUCCGACUGUUAUCAUGUAAUGCUCAUUUUCCCGACAUAUGUCUCGAGUUUUAUGCAUUGUAUAAAGCCCGACGAGUUGCGGGUUUCCUUUCUUUCUCGAUUGUUUUCUCUUUUA